GGUCGCACUGGGAGACCCGGUGCCUGCCUUCUAUCCUGACAACCCUCACUGCAACCAGGGUGAGCACGUUGGGUUCUCCAGGAAGGAGGCUCUGAGACGGACAUUAGCAUGGAGGAGGUUUACUAGCAGAAGAUAAGAGGGGAAAGCUGGCUCGGGAAGAGGGAAAGGUCAAGUUGUAAUGUGAUCUCCACUGAAGCUUUAGCUGGCCUCUAGCUCCGAAGAAAAGAAGACCUUCCAGUGGUGUUCUGAGUCUGGGAAGAACCGAGGGGAGAGAGGGAAAGAGGUUAAGAUGAAAACAGAAAAAUCUCCCCUGUGGAAGUGACAUUUAUGUGACUUGAAGGAGGAAGAGGAGAGAGUCAGCAGCCAUCACCAGACAUCUGGCUUUGGAAGCAGUUUUGCUGAAGAGAACACAACCUGUGCCACUGAAUCCAAACAGCAUUCAUUCUUGGUGGUCGCGAGCAUCCUUGCAUCCAGAGAAAGGAAUCACUUUGCUAUUUUUUAUGGUUUAAUUAUAUUAUUGCAUAAAACAUUUUGGCUGUAUAAUUUUCUGGACUUCCCUGUUUUACAACCAAUAAUCCCGCUGAAAUGUGAAAUGUACCUAAAAUUAACAAAGACAGUGUCUCAUCCCACAUCUCUGAUUUCAUUUAGGCUUGAAGAAGUAGUCCAACAUCACACAGAGUACAAAGCACGGGAACAGAGAGACCUAGGUUUGCUCCCAGCUCUGUGCCGCAAAGUCACUCAUUGGUGACCUGAAGUAAGCCACAAUAGUUGUCUCAGUCUUAGACUGUGUUGUUCUUUGAAUGAUGCCAUAGAAUUAGAUCAUCUCCAAGGGCCCUGGUAGCUCUAACACUCUACUGCUGAACUCACGCUGACACCUGAGACAGACUCAUGAGACUUAUCUUCAAGUUUUCAUUCUUAUAAUGAUAUGUGGAUGACUAGGGGCUGAAAUAUUGGGAAGAUACCAUGGAAACUUUCUCAU